rnacentral:rRNA from 1 species
AUGGAGGCGCCGUCGCUGGAGCACCGUGUGCCGGCGGAGGAGCGGCACCGGAUCGAGCGGGUGGCGCGGGACCGGGACGGGGACCUGGCGGAGGCGCUGCUGCUGCGGCUGCUGAGGAUCACGCGCAACGGCCGGCGCUGGGGGUUCCUGGCCAACGACCACCCGCUCCACCCCUACUACCUCCAGCAGAAGGUCUCCGAGCAGUGCCGCAUCCUCCGCCCCCGCCACGCCGCCGACCGCUGA